AACGAACGCUGGCGGCAGGCUUAACACAUGCAAGUCGAACGCAUCCUUCGGGGUGAGUGGCAGACGGGUGAGUAACGCGUGGGAACGUGCCCCUCAGUUCGGGAUAACCCAGGGAAACUUGGGCUAAUACCGGAUACGUGCGAGAGCAGAAAGAUUUAUCGCUGAAGGAUCGGCCCGCGUCUGAUUAGCUAGUUGGUGGGGUAAUGGCCCACCAAGGCGACGAUCAGUAGCUGGUCUGAGAGGAUGAUCAGCCACAUUGGGACUGAGACACGGCCCAACCUCCUACGGGAGGCAGCAGUGGGGAAUAUUGGACGAUGGGCGCAAGCCUGAUCCAGCCAUGCCGCGUGAGUGAUGAAGGCCUUAGGGUUGUAAAGCUCUUUCGUCCGGGACGAUAAUGACGGUACCGGAAGAAGAAGCCCCGGCUAACUUCGUGCCAGCCGCCGCCGUAA
rnacentral:rRNA from 1 species